rnacentral:misc_RNA from 1 species
GAUGAAGAACGCAGCGAAAUGCGAUAAGUAGUGUGAAUUGCAGAAUUCCGUGAAUCAUCGAAUCUUUGAACGCACAUUGCGCCCCUUGGUAUUCCGAGGGGCAUGCCUGUUCGAGCGUCAUUUCAACCCUCAAGCACAGCUUGGUCUUGGGCUUCGCCGCUAACCCGGCGGGUCUUAAAAUCAGUGGCGGUGCCGUCGGGCCCUGAGCGCAGUAAUAUCUCUCGCUAUAGGGUCCCGGCGGAUGCUGGCCAGUAACCCCCAAUUUUCUAUGGUUGACCUCGGAUCAGGUAGGGAUACCCGCUGAACUUAAGCAUAUCAAUAAGCGGAGGA